rnacentral:rRNA from 1 species
UACAUAGGGGGCAAGCGUUGUCCGGAUUUAUUGGGCGUAAAGAGCUCGUAGGUGGUUCGGUAAGUCGGAUGUGAAAUCUCCAGGCUCAACCUGGAGGGGUCAUUCGAUACUGCCGUGACUAGAGUUCGGUAGGGGAGUGUGGAAUUCCUGGUGGAGCGGUGAAAUGCGCAGAUAUCAGGAGGAACACCCGUAGCGAAGGCGGCACUCUGGGCCGAUACUGACGCUGAGGAGCGAAAGCGUGGGGAGCGAACAGG